UCGUUAUUUUUAGCAGAAAGAUUAUUAGGGAUAAGCUUAAUUUUCUAUCUUUAUACUAGUAAGUACUCUAAUGUAUCCUAGGCUUAAAAGUGGCUUUGUGUUUUAUAACUAAAAUUAGUUUAUUGUGUUAAAGGGUUAUGUGGGGGUAUUCUUGAAUUUUUUAGCUUAGUAAUAAUGGUAGAAUUAGUAGAUUAAUAACUAUUAAAUAAAUUUAGGUGAAUUAAGGUACUGUGGUUUAUAGUUUAGGUUUUUCUAAGGAACUCGGCAAAUCUACCUCUUAACUGUUUAUCAAAAACAUUUCUUUAAGUUAGGUUUUAAAGUAAUCCCUGCCCCACGAUGUUUGAGUUAAAUGGCCGCAGUAGCCUGACUGUGCUAAGGUAGCAUAAUCAUUUGGUUCUUAAUUGGGAUCUGGUAUGAAAGGGUUAAUAAGGGGUAACUGUCUAUAAAAUAUAUUUGAAAUUAAAUUUUUAGUAAGAAUGCUAGAAUGAGAUAGUGGGACGAUAAGACCCUAUAAAGCUUUACUGUUAAUUAAUGAAAAUUUUUACUAAUUUUAUUACUAUUCAGUUCUGCUGGGGCGGUAGCUAACUAAACUUAGUUAAUUUUGUUCUUUUUAGGACCCUCUAUUAGGGAUAGUAAGAUCAAGUUACUUUAGGGAUAACAGCAUAAUAUACUUAUGGAGUUCUAAUCGAAGAGUAUGAUUAUGACCUCGAUGUUGAAUUAAUCUUAUUGUAAGGUGUAGAAGCUUUAUGAAUUAGUCUGUUCGACUAUUAAAGGGUUACGUGAUUUGAGUUCAAACCGGUUUAAGCCAGGUUGGUUUCUAUCUACUGUAUUUUUAUAGUCUCUUAGUACGAAAGGACCAGAGAUUGUAGAUUAUCUAAUUUAUUUGAUUAAUGGCUAUUUUAGCCUAUCUUU
rnacentral:rRNA from 1 species